UGGGUGGAAUCCGAAAAUCCUUUAAUAGAGUAGGAA
rnacentral:ncRNA from 1 species